rnacentral:rRNA from 1 species
CGCGGGAUUGCACGGGGGGACGGGGUGCAGCAGGCGCGAAAACUUUACAAUGCGGGAAACCGCGAUAAGGGAACCCCGAGUGCCAGUACUAAGUGCUGGCUGUCCAGAUGAAUAAAAAUCAUUUGAUAGCAAGGGCCGGGCAAGACCGGUGCCAGCCGCCGCGGUAACACCGGCGGCCCGAGUGGUAACCGAUUUUAUUGGGUCUAAAGGGUCCGUAGCCGGCCUGAUAAGUCUCUUGGGAAAUCUGGUAGCUUAACUAUCAGGCUUCUAAGGGAUACUGCCAGGCUUGGGACCGGGAGAGGUAAGGGGUACUCCAGGGGUAGGAGUGAAAUCUUGUAAUCCCUGGGGGACCAUCUGUGGCGAAGGCGCCUUACCAGAACGGGUCCGACGGUGAGGGACGAAAGCUAGGGGAGCAAACCGGAUUAGAUACCCGGGUAGUCCUAGCUGUAAACGAUGCUCGCUAGGUGUCAGGCACGGUGCGACCGUGUCUGGUGCCGCAGGGAAGCCGUUAAGCGAGCCACCUGGGAAGUACGGUCGCAAGGCUGAAACUUAAAGGAAUUGGCGGGGGAGCACUACAACGGGUGGAGCCUGCGGUUUAAUUGGAUUCAACGCCGGAAAACUCACCGGGGGCGACAGCAAUUUGUAGGUCAGGCUGAAGGUCUUACCUGAAUCGCUGAGAGGAGGUGCAUGGCCGUCGUCAGUUCGUACUGUGAAGCAUCCUGUUAAGUCAGGCAACGAGCGAGACCCGCACCCACAGUUGCCAGCAUGUUCCCUGGAACGAUGGGACCUCUGUGGGGACUGCCGCUGCUAAAGCGGAGGAAGGAACGGGCUACGGUAGGUCAGUAUGCCCCGAAUCUCCCGGGCUACACGCGGGCUACAAUGGUUGGGACAAUGGGCACCUACCCCGAGAGGGGACGGUAAUCUCCAAACCCAACCGUAGUUCGGAUUGAGGGCUGUAACUCGCCCUCAUGAAGCUGGAAUCCGCAGUAAUCGCGUUUCAACAUAGCGCGGUGAAUACGUCCCUGCUCCUUGCACGAAUUUGCCGAAUCACUAGU